GUGUGUGUAUUUCUCUAUAGAGAUAGAGAGGGAGAGAGACAGAAACAGAGAGAUUGAUGUUUAAGGGCCUGUUCGGGUGAGCUUAAUAAAGGCAGUGAUGAUGAAAAAAGAUGUUGUGUUUUCUGAGUUAAAUCGGGUGUAGAUGAAUGUGGCGUUGUAGCUUGGCGGGGCGACCCGGUUGGGUUGCAGCCAUGGCGGCGUUACCUUAUACCUGAUGUUUAUUACAGAUCUGAGCCUUGGUUUUUUUAAUGAAAAAUUGUUUUUUUUUUACUGGUUUACGGUUUACCCGGGGUAAAGGAAUAACUUAAACGAACAAAUCACAAAUGUGACGAGAUAAAUGUGGCAUUGUGUUAAUUUUACCUCAAGAUUUACGUUUUAGAAUGGACCUGAAAAAAGGAACUGAAAAUUCAUUUUCUUGAAAAAAAAUAAAUUAAUUUUCCUAUAAGGAAAUCGAGAUUGUUAUUUUUUUAUUUUAAAAUAAUAGUCAUCCUAAUUUUUUGAACGUAAUUUAACUUUUAAGAUAUAAAUAAUAAAUAUUUCUAUACAUUAUUCCCCACUUUUGAAUCAAAUUUUAACACUCAUAUUUUUAUUUUAAAAAAAUUGAAGGUAAUAUUUACAAUAAUUAAAUAUGAUUAAUUCUAUUUAAGAUUAUACAAAAAUAAUUAUUACUUUAAAAUGAGCGGAAUUUAUCUUUCCGAAUCCCAAAUGUUUAAUUAAUUUUACUUCCAUAGUCUUAACAAUUUAAUCGGAAUAACAAUGUAAUUUUUAUUUCACGGUAAGCCGAAGAGACAAUCUAGACAGUUCUAGGUUUAUCAAUGGAUUGGACAACAUGGUAAAUUAAAAGAUGAAUUAAAUUGUAAUGACAAAAAUACCCUUGCGUUCUUCGCCAUAACACAACUUCUACAGAGGUCAAAACAGGCAAAACACAGAUUAAGACCGCCACUACAAAACAUGGUUUGGGACACAACAGAAGCAUUCAGGGCAUGUGAAACUCAGAAACAAAAGAAUGAGGUUCCAGAGAGAAGGGAUUUUUUACGGCAGUUGCCCCUCUCUGUACAACUCGAAUGUUUUAUUAAAAUCAUUCGACGAGCCUAUGAUUUCAUGUCCUAGCCUUACCCAACAGCCCUUUCGUGCGAAAGAUCUAUACUAUACUAUUAAAACCGAAAGAUCUUUUGCUAGCAAGAAACAUGAAUAUAUUUUGUUUGUUGCGAGAGUAGCAGCAACAGCAGAAGCCAAUGUUGAAACUCGAAACAUGUGUUGAGGAAAAUAAUGAACAAGAAAAAUAUUAAAGGGAAAUUAUGGAAACAAAGAGGCUGUGAUGAUUAUUGUUUUAAUAUUUGUUUCUGAGUUGAAUUGGGCAUAGAGUGAAAGUGAGCCGUAUCUUGGCGGGGCAAUCUGGUGGUUGCAGCCAUGGCGGCGGCGCCCUCUACGCCUGAUAAUUUGCAGAUCUGAGCCUCAUUUUUCCCAUUUUACCCCUAGAAGAGUGAACUUUUGGUUUAAUUGCUUCCCAUUUAUUUUCUGUGAUUAUUUUAUUUUAUUUGAUACAUAUUUAAAAUUUAUAUAAAAUACAGCUUCAUAAUUUAAUUUUAAGAUUUCUUAGUUAUUCAAAAAAAUUUAAAUAUUAAACUUUUAUUCGGAUUAAGAAAACAAUAAAAAAAAUUAUAAAUUUACUUUUGGAAAAAGUAUAUAAGAAAUCUCCUUUUUUGUAACAUAAAUUUUUAUCUUUUUUGUAAGAGCGAAUAUGAAAUAUUUCUUUUGACAUUAAUUCCUAAAAAAUUAUUCGAAAAUCUAUAUUUCAAAGAAAAACCUUAUUUUAUGAUAAUUUGGUUGUCAAAUACCCUUUAAUAUUCCAGCUUUUGUAAUUGAAAAUUGAACUAUUAGGUUAUUUCAUUUGAUACAGAAAAAAGUCAAAGAGUAUAAUUCUGAGAUAAUCUAAUUUAUUUUAUUCCAAUUUUAUGAAAAUAACCAUCAUAGAUAGAAUAAAACUUUGAUAAAUAAACAGGAAAAGGGAACAAUUCUGAUGAUAAACAUAAAAUAUUGUUUGAACUCAAAAAGACAAAAAUACCCCUAAUUCACAUCUCCCCAAUUUAUAUAACAAAGUGUUUCUGCAGUGAAAGAAGGGGAGAAAAAAAAGACUGAGAAACACAAGAGAUGAGGGUGCAGAGAGAAGGGAAGUUUUCAAGGGUGGUUGCCCCUCUCUGAAUACACAGCCCAUGAUUCCAUUUCUCUCAAUCAACCACCCUUGAGUUCAUGAUUACAUGGACUUUGCUCCCUCAAGUCAUCACCAACCAAAACCAACACAACAAUGAAGAAGCACAGAAAAAAAAAAAAAAAAGAUUGGCAGUUAUGACGGAAUUAAAAGGGCUGUGAUGAUAUAUUAAUGUUUCUUAGUUAAAUGGGUAUUGAGUGAAUGUGACCCGUAUCUUGGCGGGGCGACCCGGGGAUGGUGGUUGCAGCCAUGGCGGUGUUACCCUCAUGCCCAUUUGUUUUAUAGAUCUGAGCCUUUCAUUUAUUUGAGAAAUGUCUAUUUGUUGAUUUAUUUGAUUUGAUUAAUCUAGGGUGAAAGACUAAUCUUUAAUCAACAAUUCCGCGUAUUAAUCCUUCUUUCCAAUUUUUACAAGUAACUUUUCAAAUUUUAUCACAACAUCGAAGGGAUCGUGUCAUUAAAAGUGUUUGAACAGCGAUGACUUAUUUUGUAUAAUAAGCUCCAAACUCAAAAAAAAAAAAAAAAACCCUAAGUUUCUAGCUUUUCUCUUUUUACUUUCAAACCUCAUUCUAAGCAUUUCUUUUAACUUGUCAAAUGGUACAUUAACUUGUCAAAUGAUACAUAAAUAAGUUGAAGCCACUUCUCUUCUCAAUAAUUCAUAAGCUCGGUUUGCCAAACACCACUCACAGUUCAGUUCAUGAUAAGGCCAAGAGACCAUCUAGACAGUUCCAGGUUUAUUAGAGGACAACAUGGUAAAUGAAAAGAUGAAUUGAAACAUAAUGACAAGAAAACCCUUGCGUUCUUCACAAUAACUGAAUAACACCACUUCUACUGAGGUCAAAACAGACAAAAACAUAAAUUAAGACAGACACUACAAAACAUGGUUUGGGACACAACUUAAGCAUUCGGGGGCAAGGAAAUUUUUAAAGCCAGUUGCCCCUCUCUGUAAAACUCGAAUGUUUUUCUUUUAAAUCAUUCAACGAGCCUCUGAUUUCAUGACGGGAUGGCAGUUUUACCCGACCCGAUGGAUACCCGACCCGUUCCGACCCGAUUGGGUCUACCCGAACCCGAUUUUUUUGGAUUUGGAUCUGGAUCUGGAUCUUAUUUUUGGACCCGAAAAAGUUUGGAUCUGGAUCUGGAUCUCAGGUAUUCCGAACCGAGACCCGACCCGAAACCCGAAACCCGAUUUAAACCCGAUCAGAUCCGAAACCCGAUAAAAACCGAUACAAAAUAUAUAUACAUACAUAUAUGUUACAUGUAAAGUAUAUAAAUUGAAAUAUUAUGAAUUAUUAGGUAUGAAUAUUAACAUCUUACUUAAUUUUAUAUUUGCAAUAUAGAAUUUAUAUUUAUUUCAUCAAUGUUUUAUUUUUCUCAAUUAUUGUGCAUUAAAAAAUCUAAAUACAAUAAAAAUAAUAAAAUAUAAAUGAUAAGUUGAAUGAUUGUAUACAAUUGAGUUAACAUGUUUCACAUAUUUAUGUAAUAAAUGAAGCAUGUAAUUCUCAUUUUUAUAUUUCUAAAGUUAAAAAAAAUAAUCCAUAAUCACAUUUUUAUAGAUAUAUAAUUUUUAAUUUGUAUUUAAUUUUAUUUUUUUAAAUACCCGAAUUAGACCCGAACCCGAACCGAAACCCGACGAAUCGGAUCUGGAUCUUCAUUUUUUAGACCCGGACCCGAACCCGACCCGACCCGAAAUAUAAUGGAUCGGGUCUGGAUCUCAAGAAACCCGACCCGAUCCGACCCGUUGCCAUCCCUAUUUCAUGUCCUUGCCCUUAACCAACAGCCCUUUGGUAUGAAAGAUUUCACUACACUAUUAAAUCUGAAAGAUUUUUGCUAGCAUAGAAACAUGAAUAUAUUUUGUUUGUUGCGAGGGCAGCAGCAAGAACAAAGGCCAUUAUUGUGGAAUAUGAUGAACAAUAAAGAAAGGAAAUGCAGAUAAACAAAGAGGCAAUGAUGAUGAAUAUUUCAACAUUUAUUAUUUGUUUCUGAGUGAAAUUGGGCAUAGAGUGAAAGUGAGCCGUAUCUUGGCGUGGCAAUCAGGUGGUUGCAGCCAUGGCGGUGGCGCCCUCUUUGCCUCAUAUUUUGCAGAUCUGAGCCUCAUUUUUCCCCUGCAUAUUAGAAUUUAGAAUUAUAAUUUGUUGUGUGCUAAAAUUUGGAGACAGAAAUAUGUGAUCACUAAAAGUAUUUUAAAUAAUUUUGAUUUAUUUGAAAUUUCUAAUAAAUUUUUGAUUAAUUUUAAAAAUAUUUUAUCAUUUUAUCGAUUAUAUUCUAAAAAGAAAUCUUUAAUUUAUUGAUAAUAUUUUUGAUAUGCUCUAAUUUCUAAUAUAUUUUGAAUCUGUAUUGAUUUCAAUUUCCAAUUUCUUUUAAGAUAAAUCCAAUUUAAAUUUCUUAAUUCAUUGCAACACAAAAAUUGCACAGGAAUAUGCACAUAUGUGAGUGUUAGAAGAACAAGAAAAUGAUGAAAUUAUAAUUGACACGAGGCUGUGAUGAUGUGUUGAUCUUUCUCAGGUAUGGGUAUCGUGUCAAUUUGACCCGUUUCUUGGCUGGGCAACCCGGAUAGCUAUAGAAUCUUAUUUUAUCUUGAGCUACUGGUGCGUGUUUAUCUGUCUGUUUAUUUAAAUGAUAAUUUUUGUAGCAUUGAAAAUUUUUUUAGUCAGUCAUAUAAAGAUGUUAAAAUAUCGAUUGUUUUAUUAAAGUUUCGCAACAUAACAAAACAGAAGAAGAGGAUUCAUUUUCUUACAGCAUCGUUUGAGUGUUGUAAUCUAGUGUGAAAGCUAAAACCUAGCUCAUGAAACCCUGAUAGAUUGACGGAGGUUGUGCACUUGAUGAGUUGUGUAGCUGAUGAGGUUGUAGUUUAGUGACGAAAGUUGAGAUCUUGUGUUUAAUAGAACAAGCUUUGCGAAUGAUCCAUUAUAAAGAUAUGUCAGAAGAGAUAUCGCCAGAUUUGGGAAGGAACACAAGACAAGCCCUCGGGAGCAUAAUUUACAAUAUGAAGUCAUACUACCAUUAGUUAGUUGCUGCUGAACAGGAUUUCCCUCACCUAUUCUGCAGGCAUUGCCUAAGCCCAUUCACACACUACAACUACAAGGAAAAACACGAAUAUGGUCCAGGCAUUAUCUCUAUACUGAGUUUCACCUGAAUCGCCAUGUGGAGGAUUAAGCUUAGUUCUUUGGACGUGCUAACCACAAGGAACUCAGGGCUCGGAGACGUGACAUGUAAUCGCUGAUAACAAGCAGCGCACGAGCUGCUUGGCGAGUUGUUAAAAUUCUAUGCAAUUGUUGCAAAGUUUGCUGCCUCAGAAGGUCCGCCUGAUACAAGAAACAUAUAGUUUAGAAUCAGAAGAAUUAUCAGGUGCACAGGUUGAUAUAUACAGUUGGACACACCACCUGAUAAAGGAAAUUCUCUAGCGUAGAAAGUUUGCCCAUCGCAAUCGCCAUGUGGCCCAUAUAAUCAGCCACAUUCCCAGAACCAGUAGGCCCCAGUGAAUUUGAAGAGAGCGUCUCCACAAGGGAUUGCUGCAGAGCUUCCAUUCCUUGUGACAAGGCAUCCUCGGCCUGCUGAGAGGAUUGCUGGAGGUUGCAUAUGCCCAUCAACUGUUGAUCUGUCAGAGGUUCAAGUUGGUUGCCUAGAAUCUGAAGUACGAGUGAUGAUUUAAAAAUCUUGAUGAACAGAAAAUUGAGUCGAUCCUAUUCACGUAGCAAUAUGUACAAGUUUAUAGUUAAUUGAUCACCUUCAGAAGCUCUGAUGAGCGAAAUCCACCUAACCACAUAAAACACCGUUCAGCUGGAGUCUUCCACAUACCAGAGAGCAUGUGAAACACAUCAGACUUUGCAGCUACACCCUUUAGCCUAAAUAUUUCAUCAUAAUGUGACAUUAUCCCAUCUACAAGAACACGCAGUUCAGCAUCCCCUAAAUGAGAAUUCAUUACUGAUCUCAAUUCAUUGACCAGUCGCUGAUGUUCUUCUAACCAGCGGGCAUAGUCCAUGUCAAAUGCCAUGGCAACUGCAAAUAAUAAUCAUACCACAAAAUGCGAAGAUCAGAGUGGUCCGCGUCAUGAUCACCAAAAACCAUUGCUCAAAGUUUUAGGACAUUGACUGGGAGACCACCAGCAUAUUUAAAUUAUCAAAAGUAUUUUUUAUUGUACAACGGGGAUCUAGUGUAUAAAUGAUAUUUUUACAUAUGCUUAUGUCUGCAUUACCUAAAUACUAGAGCGCACAUCUGAAUAUAGCAGAUUAAAUCAGUGACCAAAUAAAAAUUAUGGAUUAUAUUUUUCCUGAUUACUAGCAACAUACAUUUUAAGUUGACAAUGGUGUAGAUGUAGAUGUAUUUUAGGAGGCCCUUUUGUUUUGCUUUGCGUUCGUCAAAUAUUUAUAUUUUUCCAAGUGCAUAUGAACGGAUCGUAAUGCUGUGGCUUAAAUUUUACUAUAUAGAUGCUUGAAAAGGUUAUAUGACCAGUGGUACAGGUGUCAACUUAACCAGCGGUACAAGUAUCAACUUAAAAAACAUACACAGAACCAAAUGUUCAUACCGGUUAUAGUUGCAAUUCUAAAAUCACAUUGAAUGGAAAAACAAGCAUACCAUUUAAACCAGUCGGAUGAGUUUGAUCUCCGCAAAUUCCAGCAGACAUAUAUAAUCCCUACAGAAGAAUAAAAG
rnacentral:lncRNA from 1 species